GUUGUUGCAGUUAAAAAGCUCGUAGUUGGAUUUCUGGUGGGAGUGGCCGGCCCGCCGUAAGGUGUGUACUUGGUUGUCUCCCGUCAUCCUUGUGGGAACUGCUCUGGCAUUAAGUUGUCGGGGUUAGGGAACACAUCGUUUACUGUGAAAAAAUUAGAGUGUUUAAAGCAGGCUUAUGCCGUUGAAUACAUUAGCAUGGAAUAAUAAGAUAGGACUUUGGCGUCUAUUUUGUUGGUUUGCACACCAAGGUAAUGAUUAAUAGGGAUAGUUGGGGGUAUUCGUAUUUAAUUGUCAGAGGUGAAAUUCUUGGAUUUAUGAAAGACGAACUUCUGCGAAAGCAUUUACCAAAGAUGUUUUCAUUAAUCAAGAACGAAAGUUAGGGGAUCGAAGAUGAUUAGAUACCAUCGUAGUCUUAACCAUAAACUAUGCCGACUAGGGAUUGGCGGUCGUUCAUUUAUGACUCCGUCAGCACCUUAUGAGAAAUCAAAGUCUUUGGGUUCCGGGGGGAGUAUGGUCGCAAGGCUGAAACUUAAAGGAAUUGACGGAAGGGCACCACCAGGAGUGGAGCCUGCGGCUUAAUUUGACUCAACACGGGGAAACUUACC
rnacentral:rRNA from 1 species